AAUGAACGUUGGCGGCGUGGAUUAGGCAUGCAAGUCGAGCGCUCAUAGCAAUAUGGGAGCGGCGAACGGCGUAGUAAUACGUAGGAACGUACCCUCGGGUCGAGGAUAGCUAUGGGAAACUGUAGGUAAUACUCGAUAACCUCUGCGGAGCAAAGGUGUGAUUCCCGCCCGAGGAGCGGCUUACGCGAUAUUAGCUGGUUGGUAGGGUAAUGGCCUACCAAGGCGAUGAUGUCUAGGGGGGUNUGAGAGCAUCGGCCCCCACGACCGGAACUGAGAUACUGUCCGGACACCUACGGGUGGCUGCAGUCGAGAAUCUUCCGCAAUGGACGAAAGUCUGACGGAGCGACGCCGCGUGCGGGA
rnacentral:rRNA from 1 species